rnacentral:rRNA from 1 species
CUUAAAUUAAUUGGGGGAGAAAAACGGCCCCACCCAAGGGGACGAAUGGGUAGCCGACUUGAGAGGGGGAUCGGCCACAUUGGGAGUGAGACCCGGCCCCAAACUCCUACGGGAGGGCAGCAGUAGGGAAUUUUCGGCAAGGGGGGAAACCCUGACGCAGCAACGCCGCGUGGAGGAAGAAGGUCUUCGGAUUGUAAACUCCUGUCUUCUGGGACGAUAAUGACGGUACCAGAGGAGGAAGCCACGGCUAACUACGUGCCAGCAGCCGCGGUAAUACGUAGGUGGCGAGCGUUGUCCGGAAUUACUGGGCGUAAAGGGCGCGUAGGCGGCUCUUUAAGUCAGAUGUGAAAACCCGAGGCUUAACUUCGGGACUGCAUUUGAAACUGAAGGGCUCGAGUGCAGGAGAGGUAAGUGGAAUUCCUAGUGUAGCGGUGAAAUGCGUAGAUAUCAGGAAGAACACCGGUGGCGAAGGCGGCUUCCUGGUCUGAUACUGACACUGUGGCGCGAAAGCGUGGGGAGCAAACAGGAUUAGAUACCCUGGUAGUCCACGCCCUAAACGAUGGAUACUUGGCGUUGGGAGCUCGAUCCUCCCAGUGCCGUAGCUAACGCGUUAAGUAUCCCGCCUGGGGACUACGGCCGCAAGGUUGCUGUCG